UCAGAGCAACUGGGCAUCUGCAAGCUGGCACAAAAUCCCCAAUCCAUUAACAUUACAGCAGAGACUGACUUUUCUGAAGAAGAUGCAAAGCACCUGAAAAUAGCUCCAUCACAGAAGCAUCAAGCAUCACUUUAAAAUUAUUGCUAUCACGUCCUGGAUGCUGCCAGUGUACUUCUGCCUCCCUCCUCAUCGUAAAGCCAUGCAUGCUCCACAGCCUACUUGGGAG